rnacentral:rRNA from 1 species
AUUGAACGCUAGCGGCAGGCCUAACACAUGCAAGUCGAGCGAGCGGCGGACGGGGGAGUAAUGUAUGGGGACUGCCCGAUAGAGGGGGAGAACUACUGGAAAAGGUAGCUAAUACCGCAUACUAUCGGCUAAACCAUCUGGGAUUAGCUAGUAGGUGAGGUAAUGGCUCACCUAGGCGACGAACCCUAGCUGGUCUAAGAGGAUGAUUAGCCACACGGGGACUGUGACACGGCCCAGACUCCUACGGAGGCAGCAGUGGGGAAUAUUGCACACUGUGCGCAAGCCUGAUGCAGCCAUGCCGCGUGUAUGAAGAAGGCCCUAGGGUUGUAAAGUACUUUCAGUCGGGAGGCGUUACCGACAGAAGAAGCACCGGCUAACUCCGUGCCAGCAGCCGCGGUAAUUC